UCCCACUUUAGCAUGAUUGAUAAUCUGAGCCAUCCUCUAACAAAUGAGAGGCGGGUCGGGCAGUUUAUGUAUUUUAGCAUAAUAGACGCCGGCCUUCAAGAAUAAAUUGGCCCGCCAAAGCCCAACAACUCCCAGGCUCAAACCCUGGUUGGAGGUUGGAGCCGGCAAGGGAUGGUGUGGUGUGCUACUAUGUCCGGUGUGGCCCCGGAAAGAUGCAGCGAGAUUCUCGGUGGCUGCGACCUUCGCAGAGGAGUCUGGGACUGAACUGGUGUGGCUAUUGCCACCGCCGCUGCUCCCGGAGGCUGGGGGCUGGAGGCCACAGGGCAGCAUCUGUCGACCGAAGGGGAGAGGGUUAGCAGAGGUAAACACAAUGCCUUUUUCCGGCUCAAAACCAGGGUUUAAAAAAAGGCAGGGAGCUACCAGUGGCGCGGAAACAGCAGAACCGAAAUGACAGGGGACCACGAGGAGGAGGAGGGACCGAACUACAGGCGACUGCUGAUGACGUCCAGGAGCAGGGGCUUGUCGCUGUUUCCGAGCCUUCAUCCAGUAGCUGAUGGAAGCAGAAGCAGACACCCACAGCUAAACACUGAGCUGAACUCUGGAAUCCAGUUGUAGAGAGGGAGGAGUGAUGAGCAAAGCAAUCAAGACCAGGCUGGUGAAACCCACAGAAACAGCUGACCUGAACAAUGAGGAGCUAUUGGUCCCUAGACUGAUAGCUGGGAAACCAGCAGAGGACUGAUCCAGACCCCCUGAAUGUGGGUGUCAGUGAGGAGGCCUUGAAAACCUAUGGGGCCUCUUGUAGUAGAUCAGUACUUAUCCCUAGCAUAGGAAUGGACUUUGGGAGCCCAUUUCACAUAGAGGUAUACUCCCUCAGCCUAGACACACCGAGAAGGGCCUAGGCCCUAUCCCAAAGAAUAUGGCAGACUCUGAAGAUUCCCCUAUGGAAGACCUUACCUUCCCUGGGGAUCAGAAAUGGUAUAUAGGUAGGGUGUUAGUGGGGGGGCAGGGUAGGAGUGGAGGGAGAGGGAACUGAGAUUGAC
rnacentral:lncRNA from 1 species